GCCAGACUCCUACGGGAGGCAGCAGUGGGGGAUAUUGCACAAUGGGGGAAACCCUGAUGCAGCGACGCCGCGUGGGCGAAGAAGUAUUUCGGUAUGUAAAGCCCUCUCAGCAGGGAAGAAGAAAUGACGGUACCUGAGUAAGAAGCACCGGCUAAAUACGUGCCAGCAGCCGCGGUAAUACGUAUGGUGCAAGCGUUAUCCGGAUUUACUGGGUGUAAAGGGAGCGUAGACGGCCAGACAAGUCUGAAGUGAAAAUCCAGCGCUUAACGUUGGAAGUGCUUUGGAAACUGCCGGGCUAGAGUGCAGGAGGGGCAGGCGGAAUUCCUAGUGUAGCGGUGAAAUGCGUAGAUAUUAGGAGGAACACCAGUGGCGAAGGCGGCCUGCUGGACUGCAACUGACGUUGAGGCUCGAAGGCGUGGGGAGCAAACAGGAUUAGAUACCCCCGUAA
rnacentral:rRNA from 1 species